rnacentral:rRNA from 1 species
AUGGCCGCUACAAACCCUUCCUACUACCAGAGUGGUGUUUGCCAAGACAUUAAGCAGAAAGAGCAUCUCUUUCACUUAUAUAUGAACCAGAUAUUUGAUGGUCCGGGUGUUACCAACGCCAACCAAGUCACUGUUGCCAAUCCAUCAGGUCAGCUUUUGGGGUUUGGUCACACCGUUGCAAACGACUGGACCAUACGUGAUGGUCCGGCUGCCGAUGCAAACCUUGUUGCACGUGCUCGUGGCAUGCACAUGGGUGCGGGCAAAGUCGACGAGAACUGGUUAUUCUGUCACAAUAUAUUGUUCACUGAUACCAGGUUUAAGGGGUCCAGCCUCAAGGUUCUUGGAGACUUUGUAGGAAACAAUAGUGAAUGGGCAAUUGUAGGUGGGAGUGGAGAGUUUGCAUAUGCCCAAGGUGUUGUGGUCGCCAAAGUAAUCCAAACUGUACCACCUACUCCCGGGCGUACUUGGGAGCUUCGUAUCAGUGCUUUCUGUCUCUGCAUCCCCAAAGUGACCCCAGUCACAAAGAUGGGACCUUGGGGUGGGGAUGGAGGGACAUCCUUUGACAUCACGGAGCUGCCUCGUUCUCUUCAAACUGUGACAAUUAGAUGUGGAGAUGUGAUUAAUUCAGUAAUGUUUUCCUAUACUGACCAAGCUGGUCAGAAGAAAACUGUCGGACCAUGGGGUGGUGAUGGUGCACUUACUGCGACGAUCACUCUUGCUCCUUCCGAGUUUAUAAAGCAAGUUCUUGGAACAACCGGUACAGUUGGAGGAGAGACAGUUGUUACAUCACUUACCUUGGUCAGCAGCGUUACAACAUAUGGGCCUUUUGGAAAAGCAAAUGGCACCCCUUUUAGCAGCCAGGUUCCAGAUGGUAACAACGUUGGGGGAUUCUAUGCACGUGCUGGGAGGUCUGUCAAUGCACUUGGCGUUUACGCGUGCCCAAUUUAG